UUUAAAACUGACAGCAGAGAAACCGGAGAAUAAUGAAUUUAGCAGCACAAGGAACCUCUCAAAACGAAGGCUGAGGAAGGAAGGGGCUGGCUGAAAUAUAGUUAAGUGCUAAGUGCUUUGUGGGCCUUUUCAAUUCUGGAAAUGUAUGGGCUUUAAUUCUGGGAAUUAAAAAUGUAGUUACACCAGCCAAACCAUCGAUGAAAUAAGAGAACAGAAUGAGAGCAUUUUUAAUCAUGCUUGGUAAGUUACUGCAAGAUGCGUUUUGCCAAAAUGCGGAGGUAGAGAAAAAGGAAAACAAAGGAAACAAGAAUGGGAGAUCCAAACGCCAAGAGUGACAAAGCGGAGCCCCCAGUACGGAGGUGAAGGAAGACUCCAGGGAGACAGCUAUGUGCCAUAUGGGGGGCCACCAGUCUAGAGUAGGCAACCAGUCCAGAAGUCCCCAGGGGGGAGGCUUCUUCAGGGUGAUGAAAUCAAUGGAAUUCUGGUGCAUCUGAGUGUCUUAAAGGGAAUUUAAACACUUGGUGAAGGCCUUGAGGUUGAAUUCUAAUAAGCACCUAGGAAACCAGGCUUAUAACAAAAAUACAAGACAAUUAUUAACUCCUGGGGGAACACUGUCAAGGGGAAAAAAAAAAGGCAAUCAUACUUUACAAAAGGGCUCAGCUGUGACUAGCGUUUACAUAGCCGUAAUAAUGUAAACACUAAAUACUGACCUCAUCAAAAUUAUGAAAUAACUAUAUUGAGAGAGGAGGGAAGGAUUUCCAUGGUCAGAAUUUAAGAGAAUUCUUAGAAAUGUACUGAAAUAAUCAGCUAAAAGAGGUGGGAUGAUUGCUUCUGGGAGGGGAAAUGAGGUAGAAAAUAAAAGACUACUGUAUUUUGUGGCCAACUUUGUAAAAUCCUUUCAUUUCUAAACUGCAUUAUGUUAUUACUGUGAUCUUAGAGAUUAAUAUGCUGUGCUGAGAAAUGAGAUAAUUAGCCAACCAUUCAUUCAGUAAGCAUUUAAUGUGUACCUAUAGUAUGCAAAUCCUUGGGGAUAGGGGGAGGGGGGGACCCAGUCCCUGUCCUCCCUCACAGUCCAGUGGGUUUCUCAACACAGCUGGUGGGAGGUGAGGGAGGAUUUCAAACUCUUCUCUAGUGAGGCGCUAAUAAGGUGAACAGAUGCUGGGCAUCUGUUGUCUUGAAUUUCAAGGUUCGUGGCUAGUGGCAGGGGUCCCCCUUGCAAGGUUGCUGUGGGCUUAGCCUCAAGGCAUGCUGGGACCUGAGCAGAUGUGGCAGACAACUCCUGAAGUAACAACGGGCAGCUGGCAAGGUGGGAGAGAUGUAUCUAACACACUAGAGGGACCUGGCUUGUUUCAGGCAUGAGGGUCACUGUUGGGGCUGCUUUGCUUGUGUGACCUCACUCAACCCUCACAAUAAGCUUGCGGAGGUGGCUAUCAUCGUCUCCACUUUCUAGACUGGAGCCCAGAUAGGUUAUGAGACGUGCCUAAGGUCACACAGUUUGUAAGUUACAGGGCUAAAAUUCAAACCCAAAUCUUAAAUCCAUGCCCUUCGGCUUCAGCCUGGGAUUUCCCCCAACUGUUAGAUUAAGAGUUACAAGACCUGGGUUUAGUUUCUGCUCUCCCAUUCAUCGGCGGUGUGAUCUCAGGCAAGUUGCUUCCCUUCUCAGUGUCUGUUCCAGGCGUGGAAAAUGGAGGGCGUUGGUCCUUUGUACUUUGGCACUACAUGCUACGAUGGAAGAAGCCAACAGGAAAAGGAAACAUAGGAAUGCGGCGCAGAGUGGCUCUACAGCAGGACACGACAUGAAAAGGUCCACCGACAUCCAGAGAGCAGCAAGAUGUAGCGUGUCCAGCUCUCCAUCUACAUUUUUAGAAACCAGUUCAAUGGCUCCUACCCUUCCCUGCUUACUUCAGAGAUGACAAGAAAGGCAGGCAGGAAGAGAGUGAUCUGGGGAAAAAAAAAAAAAAGGUAAGUGUUUUCCUCCAAAGGUUCUCAUGUUGCUUAUUAAAGUCGGCUCCAUCAAGGUCAUUCACUCUUUACAUUCUAAAUGGCUCCCUGUUUUCCGUUACACACCUGCCCACACUGUUUCAGAGCAAAGGGACCUCUCAGCUAGUAACUGUGACUCUCACAACUCGAUUACCAAGGAAGAAGCCCGGAGUUAUCUAGCAGGGGAAAGGGUCCUAGCAAAUUAUAGCGUUUUUACCUCUGAAAUUUGCUCUAUAAGAGGUGAGAGCAGAUAAAAACAAACUCCCAGAGAAGGGCUGGAGAAAGGUGGAAAUGCUGAAUGCAAUGUGAACAAAGGGGGCUGGGAAAAGGCUGCACAGGGCAGCGCUUAGGAACCCUGGCUUAGAAUCUGAAAGAGUUGGGACUGUGCAAGCUGGUGUGUGUGACCUUGGAGAAAUUACCUAACCACCCCCUGUGAUAAAGGAAUGUUUCCUCCUCUGAAAACUGGUGAUAACAAUAGCGUCUUCUCUCCAGGGUUGUUAUGAGGCUUCGAUGAGAUAAUAAAAGUGAAGGGCACAGUAUUGAGGACUGGAGCUAUUAUUAUUCACCAGCCCACCUGUCUUUGCACAUCAUUUUGCACUGACAGUAUCUGACAACAUUUACGGAGCACUCACUAGGACUAGGCACUGUGAUGAACUCUGGGUUUCAGGGGAGAAUUAAGCCAAGUCUUAGACUAUGUUAACAAAUACAUCAACAAUAUAACAAAUGUAUUAACAAAUUAUAUUAACAACUGCAUUGGGAGUAUCAGCACUCUUUCACAGAUUACAAGGACUGAAACAGAAAAUGCCUGCCUUGCAGCGUUUAGUAUAGUUCCUGACCUAGACAAAGAACUCUCACAAAAGCGGAUGCUGACAUCAAGGGCAAGUUCUGUUUGCCUUGGCGACAAGCGGGAGGGUGACAGAGUUAACCUGAAUUUUUUGUUGUUGUUGUUUUUUUUACCACCCCUGUGUCACCACAUCCUUCACUACUAGCUUUCACGUCCCUGGCGAACCCCUAGCCUCCACCAGGGACUUGGCUCUUCUACAACUCUAGAAAGACCCAGGUGCUCAAGAGCUUGAAGGUUAAGAUGACGAAAAUAGAGAAAACCGGUCGACCUAGCCCUUACCCCUGCGAGGACUGGCAACCGGAAGGAAUCCUGCUCAGGCUGUGGGUACUGGUAGUGCUAUUUCCCAAUCUAGAUGACGGGUUACAUGGACGCAUUCACGCUGAGAAGAUUCAACUUGUACAAAUAAGAUUUGUGUACUUUUCUGUACAAAUGUUACAAUAAAAAAAUUUAAAAAUAGUGACCACCCUUCUCCAACAUCCAAAGCACAGAGCAGCCCUUCCUGCUGGGCAUGCCACACCUGGGUCGUGAGCACACCAGGUCUGUCACCUGUGGCAGUUAGCAGCCUCCUCAGUUUACCCACCAGGGAGCUGUAGAAAUACCAGCAUUUUUUUCCCCUUUGGGAAAACUGGGAAGCAGUGCUCUAGAGUACCAAAUGGCAGCAUCUUCUUCAAUCAUACGAGUCUACCUUAAGGUUUUUCCUAUCUAAGGUCAAUUGCAUUGACUCAACUUUCCAUGAAAUUGUUUUAUCAUCUCCAACAAGGAGAGUAUAUCACAUUGAUGGGUCAACACCUCUAGACUGCUCUUUACAAAACUGAGAGCCUAUCUUUGACAUCACUCCGUAUCUUCCUCUUCACAACGAGCAAGUAUCUAGUAUAUCCCUCCCUCUCUCCCAAUUUCCUUCUCCCACAAACGCUGGAGGGAAAACCUAAAAUAAAUUUCAAUCAUUUAUCAAGUCAAUGGAUAUAACACAGACUACAUGCUGGUUUUCUCUUUGAAAGUUUAUUGUUAUUUAAAAAAAAAAAAACAACCCUAUAACUUUUUACAUUUUACAUUCACCUCUCAGAACAUUUAAUGGUACCAGUUAAUGAGAAUAUAUAAAAAGCCCACCAGCUGCUUCAAAUGGCUGCAAAUAUUUUACCAUGUUCUGGUAUUAAAGUGGUUUGAACUCUUUGGAAAAAAUGGCAUAACAUUAAGUACCAAGAUUUCAAAUUCCCAAAUUAGAAACAAGAUUUUUAAGUCAGGAGGAAAUUUAGUAAAAAUUCAAGGAUAAAAGGAAA